rnacentral:rRNA from 1 species
AUGGCAAUGGCAAGACCUUGGUCGGCUACAGUGACUCUGACCACACCGUCGACGUGGACUCUAGGAAAAGCACCUCGAGCAUGUUUUUCCCUUGGAAGCAGUCCAAUCAGCCGGCAAUCACUGAAGCAAAAUAUUGUCACCACCUCUUCGUGCAAGGUGGAGUACAUCACAAUGGCAACAAUAGUGUGUCAGGGGAUCUGGAUGGCUCGGCUUCUUAGCAAGAUGCCGAAUAAAGAUGUCGCCCCUGUGAUCCCCUACGUCGACAACAAGUCCGCGAUCUAA